AGAAAAAGCUAGGGGAGCCUUCGGGCUGAGAAAAGUGACGGAUUACACUUGACCCUUUACCUGAUGCGGAUCAUGCCGCCGUAGGGAAGCUUUACGGGAUUAUA
rfam:Megasphaera elsdenii strain DSM 20460 draft genome